CAAACGGCCCUUUUUAGGGCCACCCAAUUAAUAGAAAGAGAUCGAA
rfam:Ciona savignyi cont_65240, whole genome shotgun sequence.